AAGGUUUUAGCUUAAUUAAAGUGUCUGUUUUGCAUACAGGAGAUGUGAGUUAGUGUCUUGCAAAUCUUA
rnacentral:tRNA from 1 species